rnacentral:rRNA from 1 species
GAGGAAUAUUGGUCAAUGGGCGAGAGCCUGAACCAGCCAAGUAGCGUGCAGGAUGACGGCCCUAUGGGUUGUAAACUGCUUUUAUGUGGGGAUAAAGUGAGCUACGUGUAGUUUAUUGCAGGUACCACAUGAAUAAGGACCGGCUAAUUCCGUGCCAGCAGCCGCGGUAAUACGGAAGGUCCAGGCGUUAUCCGGAUUUAUUGGGUUUAAAGGGAGCGUAGGCCGUGGAUUAAGCGUGUUGUGAAAUGUAGACGCUCAACGUCUGAAUUGCAGCGCGAACUGGUUCAUUUGAGUAUGCACAACGUAGGCGGAAUUCGUCGUGUAGCGGUGAAAUGCUUAGAUAUGACGAAGAACUCCGAUUGCGAAGGCAGCUUACGGGAGCACAACUGACGCUGAAGCUCGAAGGUGCGGGUAUCAAACAGGAUUAGAUACCCUGGUAGUCCGCACAGUAAACGAUGGAUGCCCGUUGUUAGUUCACUUAAGAAUUAGCGACCAAGCGAAAGCAUUAAGCAUCCCACCUGGGGAGUACGCCGGCAACGGUG